rnacentral:rRNA from 1 species
CCUACGGGAGGCUGCAGUGAGGAAUAUUGGUCAAUGGGCGCGAGCCUGAACCAGCCAAGUAGCGUGAAGGAUGACUGCCCUACGGGUUGUAAACUUCUUUUAUAAAGGAAUAAAGUGAGGCACGUGUGCCUUUUUGUAUGUACUUUAUGAAUAAGGAUCGGCGAACUCCGCGCCAGCAGCAGCGGUAAUACGGGGGAUCCGAGCGUUAUCCGGAUUUAUUGGGUUUAAAGGGAGCGUAGAGGGGUUGGUAAGUCAGUUGUGAAAGUUUGCGGCUCAACCGUAAAAUUGCAAUUGAUACUGGCAGUCUUGAGUACAGUUGAGGUAGGUGGAAUUCGUGGUGUAGGGGUGAAAUGCUUAGAUAUCACGAAGAACACCGAUGGCGAAGGCAGCUUACUAAACUGCAACUGACAUUGAUGCUCGAAAGUGUGGGUAGCAAACAGGAUUAGAUACCCGUGUAGUC